rnacentral:rRNA from 1 species
CCUACGGGUGGCAGCAGUGGGGAAUAUUGCGCAAUGGGGGCAACCCUGAUGCAGCGACGCCGCGUGAGCGAUGAAGUAUUUCGGUAUGUAAAGCUCUAUCAGCAGGGAAGAAAAUGACGGUACCUGACUAAGAAGCCCCUGCUAACUACGUUCCAGCAGCCGCGGUAAUACGUAGGGGGCAAGCGUUAUCCGGAUUUACUGGGUGUAAAGGGAGCGUAGACGGCUGUGCAAGGCAGAUGUGAAAGCCCGGGGCUCAACCCCGGGACUGCAUUUGGAACUGGGUGGCUUGAGUGUAGGAGAGGCAGGCGGAAUGCCUAGUGUAGCGGUGAAAUGCGUAGAUAUUAGGAGGAACACCAGUGGCGAAGGCGGCCUGCUGGACGAUGACUGACGUUGAGGCUCGAAAGCGUGGGGAGCAAACAGGAUUAGAUACCUCUGUAGUC